GUGGGGCUAUGGCUCAGUGGUAAAGCGCUUGCCUUGCAUGAGUGAGGCACUGGGUUCGAUCCUCAGCACCACA
rnacentral:tRNA from 1 species